UACGUAGGGUGCAAGCGUUAAUCGGAAUUACUGGGCGUAAAGCGUGCGCAGGCGGUUUUGUAAGUCUGUCGUGAAAUCCCCGGGCUUAACCUGGGAAUUGCGAUGGAGACUGCAAGGCUGGAGUUUGGCAGAGGGGGGUAGAAUUCCACGUGUAGCAGUGAAAUGCGUAGAGAUGUGGAGGAACACCGAUGGCGAAGGCAGCCCCCUGGGUCAAGAUUGACGCUCAUGCACGAAAGCGUGGGGAGCAAACAGG
rnacentral:rRNA from 1 species